GCCCGAAUGGCUCAGUGGUAAAGCGUCUCACUAGUACUAGCUUUCCUGGUCGUUUGACUAGGACAGCGAACAUGACAUGAGAAGAUCGCCAGUUCGAUUCUGGCUUUGGGCA
rnacentral:tRNA from 1 species